UAUUGUAUGCUACUACUUACAUGGCUUAUUAGAGAAAAAAAAAUAUAUUCUAUGGUGUAGUAAAGUAGCAAAUAUAAUAAACAAAAUAAUAAAAAUAACAAAUAUAAUAAACAAAACCAAAACAUAAAAAAAAUAAUAAUAAAAAAUUAAUGUUGUCACGAACGUUGUGACCGUUGCAUGAUCAGAGGCGUGACGAGCGUAACGCAUGCUGUCACGGUCGCCACACCCCCAUGACGCCAGUCACGCAUGCUGUCACGAACGUGACAACCUGCUUUCUCGUGAAAUGUUUUUGACCGUUGUCACGACCGUUACCCCCCUUUUCAAUUCACCUUUAUUCCAUUCAUCUCACCUCUUUAUCCCCAUUCAACUCACCUCUCUAUCCACAUUAAUUUUU
rnacentral:lncRNA from 1 species